rnacentral:rRNA from 1 species
GCUACACACGUGCUACAAUGGCGCAUACAAAGAGAAGCGACCUCGCGAGAGCAAGCGGACCUCAUAAAGUGCGUCGUAGUCCGGAUUGGAGUCUGCAACUCGACUCCAUGAAGUCGGAAUCGCUAGUAAUCGUGGAUCAGAAUGCCACGGUGAAUACGUUCCCGGGCCUUGUACACACCGCCCGUCACACCAUGGGAGUGGGUUGCAAAAGAAGUAGGUAGCUUAACCUUCGGGAGGGCGCUUACCACUUUGUGAUUCAUGACUGGGGUGAAGUCGUAACAAGG